GCAAGUCGAACGCAGUAGCAAUACUGAGUGGCAAACGGGUGAGUAUAAUGUGGGUAUCUGCCUUUUGGUUUGGAAUAACAUGAGGAAACUUGUGCUAAUACCGAAUAAGCCUUCACAGGGAAAGUUUUAACGCCGAAAGAUGAGCCCGCACUUGAUUAGUUUGUUGGUGAGGUAAUGGCUCACCAAGACAAUUAUCAAUAGCUGGUCUGAGAGGACGAUCAGCCACAUUGGGACUGAGACACGGCCCAGACUCCUACGGCAGGCAGCAGUAAGGAACCUUGCACAAUGGGGGAAACCCUGAUGCAGCGAUGCCGCGUGAGUGAAGAAGGCCCUUGGGUUGUAAAACUCUUUCGUCGGGGAAGAAAAUGACUGUACCCGAAUAAGAAGGUCCGGCUAACUUCGUGCCAGCAGCCGCGGUAAUACGAAGGGACCUAGCGUAGUUCGGAAUUACUGGGCUUAAAGAGCUCGUAGGUGGUUAAAAUAGUUGAUGGUGAAAUCCCAAGGCUCAACCUUGGAACUGCCAUCAAAACUUUUUAGCUAGAGUGUGAUAGAGGAAAGUGGAAUUUCUAGUGUAGAGGUGAAAUUCGUAGAUAUUAGAAAGAACACCAAAUGCGAAGGCAACUUUCUGGGUCACUACUGACACUGAGGAGCGAAAGCAUGGGUAGCGAAGAGGAUUAGAUACCCUCGUAGUCCAUGCCGUAAACGAUGUGUGCUAGACGUUGGAAAUAUAUUUUUCAGUGUCGCAGCGAAAGCAUUAAGCACACCGCCUGGGGAGUACGACCGCAAGGUUAAAACUCAAAUGAAUUGACGGGGACCCGCACAAGCAGUGGAGUAUGUGGUUUAAUUCGAAGAUACGCGCAGAACCUUACCAACACUUGACAUGUCCGUCGCGAGACCAAGAGAUUGGUUUCUUCAUUUAGUUGGACGAAACACAGGUGCUGCAUGGCUGUCGUCAGCUCGUGUCGUGAGAUGUUGGGUUAAGUCCUGCACGAGCGGCAACCCCUACUUUUAGUUGCCAC
rnacentral:rRNA from 1 species